CGGACCGGCGCACGGGUGAGUAACACGUAUGCAACCUGCCCUCCGCAGGGGGAUAACCCGGAGAAAUCCGGACUAAUACCGCGUGGUACAUCUGUGGGGCAUCCCACGGGUGUUAAAAGGAAGCGAUUCCGGCGGAGGAUGGGCAUGCGGCGCAUUAGCUAGUUGGCGGGGUAACGGCCCACCAAGGCGACGAUGCGUAGGGGUUCUGAGAGGAAGGUCCCCCACACUGGUACUGAGACACGGACCAGACUCCUACGGAAGGCAGCAG
rnacentral:rRNA from 1 species